GUGGGGCCAGUGGCGGCAGGGAGCAUGCGUGGAGACAUCUGAAAGUGCUCCAGGAAAGGGAGGCCUUGCAGGGAGCACGGAAGCUGGCAGUGCUGGUGAAGAUUGCCCCUGACCUCACAGCCCAGGACAAGGAGGACAUUGCUAGCGUGUUGGGCAUUCACGGAUUGAUUGUCACGAACACCACAGUGAGCCACCCCGCCAGCCUCCAGGGUACCCUCUGCUCUGAAAUGGGAGGGCUGAGUGGGAAGCCCCUCCGGGAUUUAUCCAUUCAAACCAUUUGGGAGAUGUACACACUCAC